rnacentral:rRNA from 1 species
AUUGAACGCUAGCGGCAGGCCUAACACAUGCAAGUCGAACGAGUGGCGGACGGGUGAGUAAUGUCUGGGAAACUGCCUGAUGGAGGGGGAUAACUACUGGAAACGGUAGCUAAUACCGCAUACCAUCAGAUGUGCCCAGAUGGGAUUAGCUUGUUGGUGGGGUAACGGCUCACCAAGGCGACGAUCCCUAGCUGGUCUGAGAGGAUGACCAGCCACACUGGAACUGAGACACGGUCCAGACUCCUACGGGAGGCAGCAGGGGGGAAUAUUGGACAAUGGGCGCAAGCCUGAUCCAGCCAUGCCGCGUGUGUGAAGAAGGUCUUCGGAUUGUAAAGUACUUUAAGCGGGGAGGCGUUACCAGCAGAAGAAGCACCGGCUAACUCCGUGCCAGCAGCCGCGGUAAUAC